rnacentral:tRNA from 1 species
GGGAAAGUGGCUUAGUGGUAGAGUGCUUGCCUUACAUGCAGGAAACCUUGGGUUCAAUUCUUCAGUACCA